rnacentral:rRNA from 1 species
AACGAACGCUGGCGGCGCGCCUAAUACAUGCAAGUCGAGCGAGAAGACGUAGCAAUACGUUUGUAAAGCGGCGAACGGGUGAGGAAUACAUGGGUAACCUACCCUCGAGUGGGGAAUAACUAGCCGAAAGGUUAGCUAAUACCGCGUACGCUCCUUGGACUUCGGUUCAGGGAGGAAAGCGAUACCGUGGGUAUCGCGCUCUUGGAUGGGCUCAUGGCCUAUCAGCUUGUUGGUGGGGUGANGGCCUACCAAGGCGACGACGGGUAGCCGGCCUGAGAGGGCGACCGGCCACACUGGGACUGAGAUACGGCCCAGACUCCUACGGGAGGCAGCAGUGGGGAAUCUUGCGCAAUGGGCGAAAGCCUGACGCAGCGACGCCGCGUGAGUGAAGAAGGCCUUUAGGGUUGUAAAGCUCUUUGGUCGGGGAAGAUAAUGACGGUACCCGCCAGAAUAAGCUCCGGCUAACUUCGUGCCAGCAGCCGCGGUAAC